AUUGAACGCUGGCGGCAGGCCUAACACAUGCAAGUCGAGCGAGCGGCGGACGGGUGAGUAAUGUCUGGGAAACUGCCUGAUGGAGGGGGAUAACUACUGGAAACGGUAGCUAAUACCGCAUACCAUCAGAUGUGCCCAGAUGGGAUUAGCUAGUAGGUGGGGUAAUGGCUCACCUAGGCGACGAUCCCUAGCUGGCCUGAGAGGAUGACCAGCACAACUGGAACUGAGACAGGGUCCAGAUUCCUACGGGAGGAAGCGGUGGGGAAUAUGGCACAAUGGGCGAAAGCCUGAUGCAGCCAUGCCGCGUGGGUGAAGAAGGCUUUGGGGUUGUAAAGCACGUUCAGCGGGGAGGCGUUACCCGCAGAAGAAGCACCGGCUAACUCCGUGCCAGCAGCCGCGGUAAUAC
rnacentral:rRNA from 1 species